rnacentral:lncRNA from 1 species
CAAAAUCAAUGUAAAUAAGUCAUGUUUGAACAGAGCCGUAGUCUGCAAGAAUGAAGAAAUCACUAAUAGAAUUUCCUUCCUUGUUCUAAGAAAACAUUUAGACAAGAGGAGUUCCCAACAAAUGGACUGUGACAUUGGCGCAGAAGUGGAAAAGUGAACUGCCUAAAAAAGGACCAGCUGAAUGAGGAACAGGGAGGAGGCAAUAUAGAGCCACCCCUGAGUGAAAUCAGAGGGAGUCGCCUGCAGUUCGGGCAAGGGAAUCCCAACAUCGCAUCUCGUGAGAGGAGGUAUGGUGUGGUUGCAAACUAUGGAGAGGAAAAAUAAAGGAAACAGGAAAAGUGAAGGUCUGUGCUCCGUUCUUUCAGCUUUUUCUUUAGGAGGAGUAGGGAAGGUAGGGAGGAGACCCCCAAGAAAUGAAUUCUUGAGGAAGGGCAGAAAAAACACUCACAGUGCUUCCUAAGUAGGAAAUAGGUGCUGGGGGCCCUGGAUAAGGGAAGGGGCCGUCAUCCUUAGGAGAAGGGUACAGGUUACAACGCGAAACAAAGAGGCUGGGAGUUGGAAGAUGAAGGGUGGAGAGACUACAGAGAUCCGGGCAUCCGAUCAAGAGGGUCCCCGACGCGUCCCGCAGGGGACUGGCGGAUCACCGGAGAUUCAGUGGCUAAGAGGGACGGCGUCGGUGCCUAGGAGGGCUCUGGGGCGAGCGUUUAUGGGACAUCGCUCCUAAGGGGGCGCGGGGGCGGGGAGGAGUUUUUGAGUGGGAUCGUGUACCAAAAGGAGAAACGUUUCUCAGACCAGUGCUCUUCUUGAACGGAAAUCCCGGGGACGCAGAAAACGUUAAACCGUUGAGGCACCGGCAUUUCCCAGCCCCAGCCCGGCUUCCCUACACACUCACCGAGUCUCCUCCAAACGCCACUGCUCCAGCUGCAGCUACCGGCCGGCGCAGCCGCACUGAGCGCGC